rnacentral:rRNA from 1 species
UACGGGGGGGCAAGCGUUGUUCGGAAUUACUGGGCGUAAGCGUGCGCAGGCGGUUAUGUAAGACAGAUGUGAAAUGCCCGGGCUUAACCUGGGAACUGCAUUUGUGACUGCAUGGCUAGAGUGUGUCAGAGGGGGUAGGAAUUCCACGUGUGAGCAGUGAAAUGCGUAGAUAUGUGGAGGAAUACCGAUGGCGAAGGCAGCCCCCUGGGAUAACACUGACGCUCAUGCGACGAAAGCGUGGGGAGCAAACAGG